rnacentral:rRNA from 1 species
AAGACCUUGCGCUUUUGGAGCGGCCGAUGCCUGAUUAGCUUGUUGGUAAGGUAAAAGCUUACCAAGGCUUCGAUCAGUAGCUGGUCUGAGAGGACGACCAGCCACACUGGGACUGAGACACGGCCCAGACUCCUACGGGAGGCAGCAGUGGGGAAUCUUGGACAAUGGGGGCAACCCUGAUCCAGCCAUGCCGCGUGAGUGAAGAAGGCCUUCGGGUUGUAAAGCUCUUUCAGCCGGAACGAAACGGUUACGGAUAACACCCGUGACUACUGACGGUACCGGAAGAAGAAGCACCGGCUAACUACGUGCCAGCAGCCGCGGUAAUACGUAGGGUGCGAGCGUUAAUCGGAAUUACUGGGCGUAAAGCGUGCGCAGGUGGUUUUGUAAGUCAGAUGUGAAAUCCCCGGGCUUAACCUGGGAACU